UGAGGAAUAUUGGUCAAUGGACGCAAGUCUGAACCAGCCAAGUAGCGUGCAGGAUGACGGCCCUAUGGGUUGUAAACUGCUUUUGUAUGGGGAUAAAGUUAGGGACGUGUCCCUAUUUGCAGGUACCAUACGAAUAAGGACCGGCUAAUUCCGUGCCAGCAGCCGCGGUAAUACGGAAGGUCCAGGCGUUAUCCGGAUUUAUUGGGUUUAAAGGGAGCGUAGGCUGGAGAUUAAGUGUGUUGUGAAAUGUAGACGCUCAACGUCUGAAUUGCAGCGCAUACUGGUUUCCUUGAGUACGCACAACGUUGGCGGAAUUCGUCGUGUAGCGGUGAAAUGCUUAGAUAUGACGAAGAACUCCGAUUGCGAAGGCAGCUGACGGGAGCGCAACUGACGCUUAAGCUCGAAGGUGCGGGUAUCAAACAGG
rnacentral:rRNA from 1 species